GUAAACUCGGCCUUUAAUGGAGUCAGUAAUUGCUGAUAAAUGGGGUAUCAAUGAAGUCAGUGUACUGGAGGUUUCCCCAUUCUUUUCUGCUGAUCUGUGCUAUUUAAAUCUCCUCUGACAUGACUUAAAAUUAUUGUGUGCCCAGCUCUUUAAUUCCCUGACUGGUGUUCUUGGCUGAAGUCUUGAGUUAUUUUUUCCCUUCUUUUCAGACAAACUAAAGCUGGAUGGUAAGAGGCAUUCCUGGGAAGUUUUGUUCUUUCUACCCGAAGAAGCUCCACAACCUGCAGUAAGAUGGUGUCCACAGAACUGGGUGGAGUCAUUAAGAUUUUUCUACCCCUCUCCCACUGCCACCCACAUGCUAGCGCUAGCUCCUUUGUGGACCUAAGGUGUGGGGCACAAGCAUUUCUGCAGAGCCUGGGAUCGUGAAUUGAGAAAUUGAGGGGAGAGCUAAGCUUUGGGCUUGAAAAUGUUGAAAACCGCUGUCUAGAAGCCACCUACAACGUUCAACCACCAGCUUGCCACUAGCAAUAGUAGAGAAAGCGGAAAGGAGGCAGACGUGGUUGCUGCCCGCUUGGAAAUUAUGGUACUAACAAGACUUCAAGUGAGGUAAGUGGUGGGGGGUGUGGUGUUUGUUAUGCUCUCCCUGAAGUUCUGCUCCGAGCUCUCCUAGACUGGGCUGGAGACCGUUUUUCUUUCUGUGCCAGCUAUCCAGUGUGACAAUGACUAUGGUAAUGUCGACAACAGCACCACAGCAACCAUGCGGAAAGUGAGUGCCUUCCUUCCCCACGUGACCCUUUCUGCCUGGCAGAUUUCACCUUCUUUUCCUUUUCCCCGCAGAGUCAUCUCUGAGUGUGACUCUAAAGAGAGGGGAGCGAAGCCUUUCUAGGUUGCUCAUAGUAAGGAAACAGAGCAAGACACUCCUUUAAAAAGCUGGGAAUGAGUGUAAAUGGCAUUAGGAAUCUACUCAUGAGUUGGGUGCUCCUGCUGUUGGUUCUCCAAGUUCGUGUGUAGAGAAAUCUGAAGGAAGGCCAACUCAUCAAGUGCACUGAAGAUCAGCUUACUCUGAAAAUGAACUUGUCCCAGAGUAAGUAACAUAGAUUUUGUGCUUUCUAUGUGCUAGAUUCUUUUUCACCAUCUAUGUAAAUCCAAACAACAACAUUUCAAUGAAGAUAUUCUUAUCAAGGAGAAUAUAAGCAGAAUGAGAGCAGGAACUUGGGUUCACUUGUAUACACUGAGUACUUGGCACAAUUCGCUUUUUGAAUGAUUUAAUAAAUAUAUGAAGAAACAGAGAUUAAAUACUCUG
rnacentral:lncRNA from 1 species